rnacentral:tRNA from 1 species
UAAAUGAAAGCCAAAAAGAGGCAUCUAUCUGUUAAUUAGAAAACUGUAAGAAUUUUACUCAUUUAA